UACGUAGGUGGCAAGCGUUGUCCGGAUUUACUGGGCGUAAAGAGCGCGCAGGCGGUCGUUCAAGUCGCGUGUGAAAGCCCCCGGCUCAACUGGGGAGGGUCACGCGAUACUGAUCGACUCGAAGGCAGGAGAGGGUAGUGGAAUUCCCGGUGUAGUGGUGAAAUGCGUAGAGAUGUGGAGGAACACCGAUGGCGAAGGCAGCCUUCUGGGCCAACACUGACGCUCAUGCACGAAAGCGUGGGGAGCAAACAGG
rnacentral:rRNA from 1 species